AGCAGUGUGGCUCAGUGGAAAGAGCACGGGCUUGGGAGUCAGAGGUCAUAGGUUCGAAUCCUGCCUCUGCNN
rnacentral:tRNA from 1 species